ACGAACGCUGGCGGCACGCUUAACACAUGCAAGUCGAACGAGAGAAGAGAAGCUUGCUUUUCUGAUCUAGUGGCGGACGGGUGAGUAACACGUGAGCAAUCUGCCUUUCAGAGGGGGAUACCGAUUGGAAACGAUCGUUAAUACCGCAUAAUAUAAUUGAACCGCAUGAUUUGAUUAUCAAAGAUUUAUCGCUGAAAGAUGAGCUCGCGUCUGAUUAGCUAGUUGGUAAGGUAACGGCUUACCAAGGCGACGAUCAGUAGCCGGACUGAGAGGUUGAUCGGCCACAUUGGGACUGAGACACGGCCCAGACUCCUACGGGAGGCAGCAGUGGGGAAUAUUGCACAAUGGAGGAAACUCUGAUGCAGCGAUGCCGCGUGAGGGAAGAAGGUUUUAGGAUUGUAAACCUCUGUCUUCAGGGACGAAAAAAGACGGUACCUGAGGAGGAAGCUCCGGCUAACUACGUGCCAGCAGCCGCGGUAAUACGUAGGGAGCGAGCGUUGUCCGGAAUUACUGGGUGUAAAGGGAGCGUAGGCGGGAUCGCAAGUCAGAUGUGAAAACUAUGGGCUUAACCCAUAAACUGCAUUUGAAACUGUGGUUCUUGAGUGAAGUAGAGGUAAGCGGAAUUCCUAGUGUAGCGGUGAAAUGCGUAGAUAUUAGGAGGAACAUCAGUGGCGAAGGCGGCUUACUGGGCUUUAACUGACGCUGAGGCUCGAAAGCGUGGGGAGCAAACAGGAUUAGAUACCCUGGUAGUCCACGCCGUAAACGAUGAUUACUAGGUGUGGGGGGACUGACCCCUUCCGUGCCGCAGCAAACGCAAUAAGUAAUCCACCUGGGGAGUACGACCGCAAGGUUGAAACUCAAAGGAAUUGACGGGGGCCCGCACAAGCAGUGGAGUAUGUGGAUUAAUUCGAAGCAACGCGAAGAACCUUACCAGGUCUUGACAUCGUAUGCAUAGCUCAGAGAUGAGUGAAAUCUCUUCGGAGACAUAUAGACAGGUGGUGCAUGGUUGUCGUCAGCUCGUGUCGUGAGAUGUUGGGUUAAGUCCCGCAACGAGCGCAACCCUUACUGUUAGUUGCUACGCAAGAGCACUCUAGCAGGACUGCCGUUGACAAAACGGAGGAAGGUGGGGAUGACGUCAAAUCGUCAUGCCCCUUAUGACCUGGGCCUCACACGUACUACAAUGGCUGUUAACAGAGGGAUGCAAAGCCGCGAGGUGGAGCGAACCCCUAAAAGCAGUCUUAGUUCGGAUUGUAGGCUGCAACCCGCCUACAUGAAGUCGGAAUUGCUAGUAAUCGCAGAUCAGCAUGCUGCGGUGAAUACGUUCCCGGGCCUUGUACACACCGCCCGUCACGCCAUGGGAGUCGGUAACACCCGAAGCCUGUAGUCUAACCGCAAGGAGGACGCAGUCGAAGGUGGGAUUGAUGACUGGGGUG
rnacentral:rRNA from 1 species